rnacentral:rRNA from 1 species
CCUACGGGACGCAGCAGUAGGGAAUUUUCUGCAAUGGGGGGAACCCUGACCGAGCAACGCCGCGUGAAGGAAGAAGAAAUUCGUUCUGUAAACUUCUGUUAUAAAGGAAGAAAGGCGGAUGAAGGAAAUGACAUCCGAGUGACGGUACUUUAUGAGAAAGCCACGGCUAACUACGUGCCAGCAGCCUCGGCAAUACGUCGGUGGCAAGCGUUAUCCGGAAUUAUUGGGCG